UACAGAGGGUGCGAGCGUUAAUCGGAAUUACUGGGCGUAAAGAGCUCGUAGGCGGUUUGUCGCGUCUGCUGUGAAAACUGGAGGCUCAACCUCCAGCCUGCAGUGGGUACGGGCAGACUAGAGUGCGGUAGGGGAGAUUGGAAUUCCUGGUGUAGCGGUGGAAUGCGCAGAUAUCAGGAGGAACACCGGUGGCGAAGGCGGAUCUCUGGGCCUUACCUGACGCUCAGGUGCGAAAGCUAGGGGAGCGAACAGG
rnacentral:rRNA from 1 species